UACGGGGGGGAGCAAGCGUUGUUCGGAUUUACUGGGCGUAAAGGGCGCGUAGGCGGUCAGCACAAGUCAGUUGUGAAAUCUCCGGGCUUAACUCGGAAAGGUCAACUGAUACUGUGCGACUAGAGUGCGGAAGGGGCAACUGGAAUUCUUGGUGUAGCGGUGAAAUGCGUAGAUAUCGUAAGGAAGACCAGUGGCGAAGGCGGGUCUCUGGACAGUUCCUGACGCUGAGGCACGAAGGUCAGGGGAGCAAACGGG
rnacentral:rRNA from 1 species